CCUACGGGAGGCUGCAGUGGGGAAUAUUGGACAAUGGGGGCAACCCUGAUCCAGCCAUGCCGCGUGUGUGAAGAAGGCCCUCGGGUUGUAAAGCACUUUCAGUGAGGAAGAACGCCUGGUGGUUAAUACCCAUCAGGAAAGACAUCACUCACAGAAGAAGCACCGGCUAACUCCGUGCCAGCAGCCGCGGUAAUACGGAGGGUGCGAGCGUUAAUCGGAAUUACUGGGCGUAAAGCGCGCGUAGGUGGCUUGAUAAGCCGGUUGUGAAAGUCCCGGGCUCAACCUGGGAACGGCAUCCGGAACUGUCAAGCUAGAGUGCAGGAGAGGAAGGUAGAAUUCCCGGUGUAGCGGUGAAAUGCGUAGAGAUCGGGAGGAAUACCAGUGGCGAAGGCGGCCUUCUGGACUGACACUGACACUGAGGUGCGAAAGCGUGGGUAGCAAACAGGAUUAGAUACCCCAGUAGUC
rnacentral:rRNA from 1 species